rnacentral:rRNA from 1 species
GGAUGUGAAAUCCCCGGGCUCAACCUGGGAACUGCAUUCGAAACUGGCAGGCUUGAGUCUUGUAGAGGGGGGUAGAAUUCCAGGUGUAGCGGUGAAAUGCGUAGAGAUCUGGAGGAAUACCGGUGGCGAAGGCGGCCCCCUGGACAAAGACUGACGCUCAGGUGCGAAAGCGUGGGGAGCAAACAGGAUUAGAUACCCUGGUAGUCCACGCCGUAAACGAUGUCUACUUGGAGGUUGUGCCCUUGAGGCGUGGCUUCCGGAGCUAACGCGUUAAGUAGACCGCCUGGGGAGUACGGCCGCAAGGUUAAAACUCAAAUGAAUUGACGGGGGCCCGCACAAGCGGUGGAGCAUGUGGUUUAAUUCGAUGCAACGCGAAGAACCUUACCUGGUCUUGACAUCCACAGAACUUUCCAGAGA